rnacentral:rRNA from 1 species
CCCUGGGUUAGUCGGGACCUAAGCUGAGGCCGAAAGGCGUAGGUGAUGGACAACAGGUUGAUAUUCCUGUACUACCGAUAACCGUUUGAGAGAAGGGCUGACACAGUAGGAUAAGCUAAGCACACUGUUGGUUAUGUGUGCCCAAGCAUUGAGGCAGGCAAAGUAGGCAAAUCCGCUUUGAUAAUGCUGGGGUGUGAUGGGGAGCGAAAUGUAGUAGCGAAGUAGCUGAUUUCACACUGUCAAGAAAAGUCUCUAUCGAGGUUAAAGGUACCCGUACCGCAAACC